rnacentral:rRNA from 1 species
AAAUCGGAUUCCUUAGCGGGAUUUCGAAUUGUGGGCUACAGACGCGUAAUCAGUGUGUGACCCAGGUAUAAAUCUCUUUGAAACGAGGUAUCAUAGAGGGUGAGAAUCCCGUCUGUGACUUGGAGUUCGCCGCGUACGAUUCGUGUUCGCAGAGUCGCGUUGUUUGGGAUUGCAGCGCUAAAUGGGUGGUAAAUUUCAUCUAAAGCUAAAUAUCGACGAGAGACCGAUAGCGAACAAGUACCGUGAGGGAAAGAUGAAAAGAACUUUGAAAAGAGAGUUAAAAAGUACUUGAAAUUGCUAAGAGGGAAGCACUGGAAACCAGUCGUGACCUGCGUGUAUAUUUAGCAUAUGCGUCUGGAUCCGCGUAGCGUUGAGAGCCAAAAGCCUCAUAGUUAUUCGGUGAAUUGCGUGUUAGCGACCUGUACUGUGGGUUGAGUCAGAAUCAAUUCGAGUCGUGAGAGAAAGCUAUCAUAACGGUAGGACCGCGGGGGCAACUCCAAGGUCUGUUUAGUAUGGUAGUGCUAUCAUGGAUUGGAUUGAGGGACAAUCAACAACGCGCCCCGCAUGGGAUGCGCUCCCCGACCCUUGAUGAUCAGAAGGUUUGGACAACAAAGUUGUGCUAUCUUCGAAGUUAUCUACUGGAAAGGAUGAGCGACAAGCAGCGUUCGAGAUUCUGACGAAAUGGUUUUCAUUGACCCGUCUUGAAACACGGACCAAGGAGUCUAACAUAUAUGCGAGUAUUUGGGCCUGGAAACCCUUAUGCGCAAUGAAAGUGAAGGUUGUCUUCGGACUUCUGAGGUAGGAACCUGUGUCCUCGGACAUAGGGGCACUAUCGACCGAUCGUCACUUGUUGAAGAUUUGAGUAUGAGCAUAUCUGUUGGGACCCGAAAGAUGGUGAUCUAUGCCUGAACAGGGCGAAGCCAGGGGAAACUCUGGUGGAGGCUCGUAGCGAUACUGACGUGCAAAUCGUUCGUCUGAUUUGGGUAUAGGGGCGAAAGACUAAUCGAACCAUCUAGUAGCUGGUUCCCUCCGAAGUUUCCCUUAGGAUAGCUGGAACUUAUACAGUUUUAUCAGGUAAAGCUAAUGAUUAGUGGUCCUAGAGUUGAAACAACUUUAACCAAUUCUCAAACUUUAAAUAGGUAAGAAGCCUUGGGUUACUUAAUUGAACCCGGGCCUCGAAUGGAAGUUCUUAGUGGGCCAUUUUUGGUAAGCAGAACUGGCGAUGCGGGAUGAACCGGACGCUGACUUAAAGUGCCUAACUGUUCGCUCAUCAGAUCCCACAAAAGGUGUUGGUUCAUUUAGACAGCAGGACGGUGGUCA